AGGUGGUGAGUCCUCUGGUAAGGGUAAGGAUAUCGUACCCGAGGACCAGGAGUAGGAGUACUCCCGUUAUUGUUCAGAACAGUCUGUAGACAGUCGAUUUUGUCGAGGGUUUGCUUUUGGAUUUGCACCUUUAGAAAUCAUAGGUCUACAGUCCUGUUUAUUUUUGUUAUUUUGGGGCUCACAUGUCAUUGUAAAAUAUUUUUGUAUACCCUAGCACUGUGUGCUAUUAUGUAUAUGAAUUUACUUUGUUAUUACGCUACAGUAAUUGUUUACGUAGAAUUUUUUAAAUAUUGUUUUAUAUGAAAAUGAAAUAUUUUAUCCAA